rnacentral:rRNA from 1 species
CCUACGGGUGACAGCAGUGAGGAAUAUUGGUCAAUGGACGCAAGUCUGAACCAGCCAUGCCGCGUGCAGAAAGACGGCCCUAUGAGUUGUAACCUGCUUUUGUACGAGGGUAAAUCCCGAUACGUGUAUCGGGUUGAAUGUAUAGUACGAAUAAGGAUCGGCUAACUCCGUGCCAGCAGCCGCGGUAAUACGGAGGAUUCAAGCGUUAUCCGGAUUGAUUGGGUUUAAAGGGUGCGUAGGCGGUUGGAUAAGUCAGAGGUGAAAUCCCGGGGCUCAACUCCGGCACUGCCUCUGAUACUGGCGGGCUAGAGUGUAGUUGCGGUAGGCGGAAUGUAUGGUGUAGCGGUGAAAUGCAUAGAGAUCAUACAGAACACCGAUUGCGAAGGCAGCUUACCGAACUACGACUGACGUUGAGGCACGAAAGCGUGGGGAGCAAACAGGAUUAGAUACCCUUGUAGAC